UUAUGUUAUUUAAAAAAUCAAGUUUUAAAUCAAGAUGUAGAGAACUAAACUACAGAAAUACAGUAAUAAAUUAUUUCAAAUAGCUGAUCAUUUUCAACACAUUAUCACAGCAACACUUGCUAAUUUCUGUGUAUUGUUCUACACCCCAGACAGAGAAAACUGUGAGCGAUACCUGUGUGCAACGGAAUUUAGAGCACGGCUAACCGUGGCGAUACCAGAAUUUAGAAAACACAAAACUUCAAAGGAAAAUGCCGCAGUCAUGCAAUAAGGGUUUAAAGACGACACGUGUUGAUGAAAGUCUGUGUUUUCACAAGUUUGCGUUAACUAGAGCAGGAGUGAUUGGAUUAUAAUUAGUUAAAGAUUAUAAUUAGUCUAUGCAACGAAAUGGGAUAACAGCUGGUGACGGCAUGCAUGGGCUCUUUCAUCACUCUUCUCCCUUGAAGAAGACCGGGCGGUUAUUGAAUGGGCACAGGCGAAUCUUAGCCACCCUUACCACAGAUGAACACUUUGAGCACCAUGGAGUGGAUUGUUGGUAAUCUGUUCGAGUCUCACCCAAACCUGAGCAAAGUCGCUACAGUGGGACUGCUUCUACCAACCUCCACAUCUGAUUGUGAGAGAGGUUUCAGCAGUUGAAUGUGUAAAGACCACCCACCAUUCACCGGUGAGCAUGAAAGUGCUUUUAACAUGCCUUACUCAUGGUGUCCAUGCAGGGACAAAAACUGAAUGACUUUAAUUUCAGUGGUGCAGUAAAGGAAUGGCACAGAGCCAAAGACAGACACUUACCGGUAUAUGAAAACAAAAAUGCCUAUUUGUUGUUAGUGUUAGUACAAAAGAAGUGGAAGGACAUAUGUGUUGUUCGAAAAUACAUAUAAAAGAGGUGGACAUCUGUCAUGUCUGUGUAGUGUAUAUGAUAUAUUGAUGGUUAUAUGAUUAUGUAAAAAUGUAGAAGUAAUGAAAUA
rnacentral:lncRNA from 1 species